rnacentral:lncRNA from 1 species
GAACCACAAACAACAUAUGAAAUUCCAACAGAACUUCAAAGGUCAAAACCCAAACAAACAAACAAACAAACAAUCAAUCAUAUUCUUCUAUUCAUGUGCAUCACAUGACAUUAUAAAUUCAUACAAAACAUUCAUAAUCCAAUUUUAUCACUUAGCCAUAACCGACCCAACAUUGGCCGCCUUCUGGUACACCCGCACCACCGACAUCCCAUCACUUCCAUCGUCUUUAACCCUCCAUGCUCUAUCCUUCUUUCUUUGAGGCUUCUUAUGCUGCUUAUAAGACGCACUCGAGCUCGCCUUUUUCCGAGCCCCACGAACCACGUUACCAGGACCUAACCCAUUAGCCACGUCAAAUGACUUAAGGUCAUCCAUCACGUCAUCAAGCCUCGUUCCUUCACCAGAAUCCGAUUCAUCACUCUCACUCGCGUCGGACCCACCUGCAUCUCUUGAACCAUCCUCUUCGUCCGACAUGCCAGGUGGCAGUUCGUAAUGAGGCAGCUUUCCGUCGAUGUAAUCCUUCAGAAUUUGACGAGCGGCUUUUGUUUCAUCAGGGAGUCCACUAGAUGCAACGUACCCACGAGACGCGCAGUAUGACCUCAAAAGUUCUGAUGCAAAAGGAGGUCGGUUUUCAGGCUCGUACGGCUUCGGUUUUGGUAGUUUGAUAUUGUAGACACCCUCGAUGACGUGGCGUGGAACGUGGUCUGCAACCACUUGUACCGCUUCCCGAUGCUCAGUCAUUCUGUGGAUCGGUAAAACCCCAGAUGCAAUCAUUUCAUAUCUCGAGCUUGUGAAAGACGGGAAUACUAAUCCGGGACAGUCGCAUAAAGUCAGCUUUUCGGUAAUUAUAAGCGUCUGGAAAUGUUUGGUUUUCCCAGGGGUAGAUGUCACGCCCGUUCGUUUUGCACCAACUAAAGCGUUGAUCGUUGAACUUUUUCCAACAUUAGGGUACCCCACGAAUCCAACGGUUACAUGUUCGGUUUUCACAUCAGUUGAAUUUUGCUGUGAGUCGGUUCUCAUACGGGCUAUUUCCUCUGCUUCCGACUGUAAACGGGAUAACAACUCUUCCCUCCCGUAUAUUUUUGUGUCCUCGUCAACGGUUUCUUGCGAAGAAGAAACAUGUUGUUUUCCUUCUAACUCUGCUGUUGCAGCCUUGGCAGACCAAAAGAGAUACAAAAUACCAUGAAGCUGGAAGUAAUCGGCCCAUUUCUGUCUGCAAAUGAAACCAAAAGAUAGAUAGUUACAAGAACAGAAGAUGCAUUUGCAUUAUACCGUUUACGGCCGUUUGGAUGUUUGUUUUAAAAGCAACUAGUAUUAAGUACCCCGCGUUGCGGCGGGGGCAAGCACUAAUGUCAGCGACCAUUGACACUGAAGUUGCGGUGUUAAUGCGAAGAAAUUAAACUGAAACGUAGAACAUAGAAUAAAAUAACUAAGUUGAUCUAGGACUCGCUCGUUACGAUGAACCCGCGUCUGGUUCAUCGUAAUCUAUAUACAAUAUUCAUUACCACUAUACAAACCAUAUCUGAUUAAGGUACAACCAAUUAAGCACAACUUACAACCAAAUAUGCAUACUGGUAGAGGAUCCUGUAAAAAGUGCUCAAAGUGUGAGAAGUCUGACCCUUUUCUUUGGAUUCUUGGAUUUUGUGGUUGUGAUGCUUAACUAGGGCUCUUCCCAACGAUGAUUUAUCGUUUUUCCCCAUCAACAACAAAUAAGGUGUUUUUUUGGUUACGGCUAACGGAAUAUGUAUGUAU